AACGAACGCUGGCGGCAGGCUUAACACAUGCAAGUCGAACGCAUCCUUCGGGGUGAGUGGCAGACGGGUGAGUAACGCGUGGGAACGUGCCCUUCAGUUCGGGAUAACCCAGGGAAACUUGGGCUAAUACCGGAUACGUGCGAGAGCAGAAAGAUUUAUCGCUGAAGGAUCGGCCCGCGUCUGAUUAGCUAGUUGGUGGGGUAAUGGCCCACCAAGGCGACGAUAAGUAGCUGGGCUGUGAGGAUGAACAGCCACAUUGGGACUGAGACACGGCCCAAACUCCUACGGGAGGCAGCAGUGGGGAAUAUUGGACAAUGGGCGCAAGCCUGAUCCAGCCAUGCCGCGUGAGUGAUGAAGGCCUUAGGGUUGUAAAGCUCUUUCGUCCGGGACGAUAAUGACGGUACCGGAAGACGAAGCCCCGACUAACUUCGUGCCAGCCGCCGCAGUAA
rnacentral:rRNA from 1 species